UACGUAGGGUGCAAGCGUUGUCCGGAAUUAUUGGGCGUAAAGAGCUCGUAGGCGGUUUGUCGCGUCUGCUGUGAAAACUCAGGGCUUAACUCUGAGCUUGCAGUGGGUACGGGCAGACUAGAGUGUGGUAGGGGAGACUGGAAUUCCUGGUGUAGCGGUGAAAUGCGCAGAUAUCAGGAGGAACACCGAUGGCGAAGGCAGGUCUCUGGGCCAUAACUGACGCUGAGAAGCGAAAGCAUGGGGAGCGAACAGG
rnacentral:rRNA from 1 species